rfam:Picea glauca, whole genome shotgun sequence.
ACAUGCUUACAAUGUAACGUUAAUGCAUCAUAUUCCAUUAGAACUCUAUAGUUAAGCGCACUUGGGCUAGAGUAGUACUAGGAUGGGUGACCCCUCGGGAAGUCCUAGUGUUUUACAUGCC